AAGUCGUAACAAGGUUUCCGUAGGUGAACCUGCGGAAGGAUCAUUAUCGAGUUUUGAAAGCGAGGUUUGUAGCUGGCGAUCUUAACAAUCGUAUUGUGCUCGGCCUCCGCUCAAUCCACUCAACCACUGUGCACUUUCGAAGUCGUUGGAUCCUCCGUCAUGGGAGCAGCUCUUUAUUGAGUCGGGAUCUACACUUCGCUAUAUUAUAAACUCAUUGAUGUUAUGUGAAUGUGUUUGCCUUCGGGCUGAACUUAAAUACAACUUUCAACAACGGAUCUCUUGGCUCUC
rnacentral:misc_RNA from 1 species